GCCGAAGUGGCGGAAUUGGCAGACGCGCUAGAUUCAGGGUCUAGUAGGCUCUAAGCCUGUGUGGGUUCAAGUCCCGUCUUCGGCA
rnacentral:tRNA from 1 species